UACGGAGGGGACUAGCGUUGCUCGGAAUCACUGGGCGUAAAGCGCACGUAGGCGGAUUUCUAAGUCAGGGGUGAAAUCCUGGAGCUCAACUCCAGAACUGCCUUUGAUACUGGGAAUCUCGAGUCCGGGAGAGGUGAGUGGAACUGCGAGUGUAGAGGUGAAAUUCGUAGAUAUUCGCAAGAACACCAGUGGCGAAGGCGGCUCACUGGCCCGGUACUGACGCUGAGGUGCGAAAGCGUGGGGAGCAAACAGG
rnacentral:rRNA from 1 species